CUACAAAAACCACAACAUAUGGGUUCCCUUGCUCCUUUGCGGCAUGAACAUCCCUCAGAAUAUCAAUGGAGCGUUUAGGAGUUAAGAUGCGAACAAGGGCCUCCUCCAUUGCUGCCUGUGGUUUAAUCAAUUCAACACCCCAUAUUAGUAUGUACAAACUAAACCAAUAAGGAAAAAAUAGACUGAUGAGACAUUUGAAGUUUUGGCAUGCAAUUAUUCGAUUUUGAAAACAUCCUUCCAAUUUUAAUCUUCUAUUUUCGUUUGGGGCUGUGUGUGUGUGUNNNNNNNNNNNNNNNNNNNNNNNNNNNNNNNNNNNNNNNNNNNNNNNNNNNNNNNNNNNNNNNNNNNNNNNNNNNNNNNNNNNNNNNNNNNNNNNNNNNNNNNNNNNNNNNNNCAGUUGUAUACAGUUCCAAAGACCUUGGACUUAGGCACUUCUCAAAUGGCAUUGUUCCUCCAAGUUAGACUAUAUUAAAGCUAUGACUAUAAGUGCUCUACCCUGUACAUGAUUAAACGUUCCAAUUCUCUUACCUGAACUGUUGAAGAAAUUCUUGUAAAUGAGGCAAGCUUUUUACCCUCCAGACUUGCCGCGACUGAUUCACAAAGCUUUUCAGCAAUUUCUUCGGCCUGUAAGACAUUCAUAGCACCCAUCAACCAAUUAUAUAAUAAGAACUGCUGAGACAAAUAUGGUCACCAAUCAAAGUAUUUUGCUCUUCUCUUCUCUUUCUCCAUCUUUUGGGAGGAGGAAAGAGAUAGGAAGGGGACAGGGAAGAGCAAAGCAAUUGGCAAACUUACCACAUUCUUGGUCAUCAGCCUGUCCUUAAGAGCUUUUAAUGCUGGUUCUAAGUCGGCCUUCUCCAAAUUAGCCUUUCCUGCGAUACUGGAGAAACAACAGCAACACGGGUUAUGUCCAACAUUUCAACAAUCAAAAAUAGAGAUCCAUUAUCUUGAAAGAGAAACUGUAUAUGUCAGUCUUUUCCCAUCAUUCUGGAAUAUUUUUCAGCUUCUCAUAUAAAACCCGAACAAAUUAUAGUACUUCUUUAGUGUCCGCUAAGCAAAUUAGACCAAUUUCAUAGUGAUUACGAAUGGUGUGAGGACUCUAUGAUACAAAUAUCAGCCAUUCUGUCGGACUAAAUUUCCAUAAAGAUAAACUUUCCUCUUUUUUUCACAAACAAGAAGAAAAUGAUCAAGACUAUAUAAUAAAGUUAUGAACAAAAGAAAGAUAUAAUAAUACUGGUAAAACGACUUUUUCCCUUUUCUGAAAUCAAGGGAGGAUGAGAAUUUUACCUCUGGAACAUGGAUGAGAACCAACCUUUCUUCUUUCCCUCAACCUUGCUGUCUUUCCCUGGCUCCUCAUCCUCCUCGGUCUCACUGUCACUACUCACAAUCUCCUCUUUGUCCAUCAUACUCUCACCUUGAACUGCUGCCACAACUGCUAUAUUCUCAUUCCCAUUCUCACUCAUAGGAUCCGUGAAAUCCAAUUUUGACUCGGUAGGUGAAUCAUCCCAGACUCUGUUCUUCUUUAUCUUUUUUGUAGGCUCUGCCUUGGAACCCUUUACAACAUGUGAAAUCCAAUUUCGACUCGGUAGGUGAAUCAUCCCAGACUCUGUUCUUCUUUAUCUUUUUUGUAGGCUCUGCCUUGGAACCCUUUACAACAGUAUCGGUUGCCUUCGAACCCUUUAUAACAGUAUCAGUUUUCUUCCCACCUUUAGCCCUAAGCUUCUGUAGCUUAUUUACAUCAAAAGCCCCAGAAUCAGAACUUCCAUUCUCUUUACCGUUAGCCUGUACUACUACAUUUCCAUUACUACUGUUAGAAUGGCCAUUUUCCAUAGCACGACUUUUUACUUUAUCGCUAUCGCCACCAUCACUUCCUGAUUCAGAACCACUCUUUUUUUUAUUACCUCCAUUCAUAAUGCCCUUUUGCACUUGUCCUUGCUUCUUACCUAGAUUAUUGGUGACAGGCUUGCCGACCUGCUUCGACUUCUUCAUUUCCUCAGCACGCGCCUCAGCCUCCUUCCUAAGCUGCUGAAAAACAUCAUCAAAUUCAUUGUAAACAGUCUUUUUGGGGUCAUAAAUCUCCGAGAAUUCCCGCUUAACCAUAGCAAGCAAUUCAUCCACAUACAAAAGAUGAAGAAUUCGCUGAUACACAGCAACAAACACAAGCCCCAGUUCAUUGUGAAACGUCCAUUUAAGAGUGUAUGCAGCUCCUGGUGCAUCAUAAUUAUACGAAGCAGCACCUGAACGUUCCUCCAAAAGACAUGAACGAAUCAACGUGUCAAUUGGAGAACCUCUGAGAGCAUUUCCAAGCUCUUUACAUGUCCAGAGGAUCAAGCCCCCUCUGGUGAAUAUCAGUAACUGCUCUAACAUCUUUGGAUUCUAAAUAUACCCCUGCAAACAAAAAAUUUUAGGUUAACAUAAACUCGCUUCAGUCGACAAAUUGAACUUCUUAAAACAGAUGAAAAUAAAACUUGCAGUCUUGAUGAAUGCAGCUGGAAAAAGAGAACCAAAAUCCAGGUCCUAUAACAGAUUCAACGGAUGGAAGGAACAUUUCUUUGCAUAAAAUAGGAAAGAAAAAGCUUAAAGAACAUAACUUGGGCACAAUAAUAAUGCUUUAAAGAUUUCCUAGAAUUUAAAGGGCUAAAAAAACCACAAAAUAAUAAUCAAUCAACUACACCACAAUCAUAAACUUGUUAGUUCGACUAAAUGAAAGGGCAGUGCCCCUGGUUCGUAACGGUGGCUUACACUAUUUAGCUAGGUCAAAAUUUUAUUUUUAUGUAUAUAUGCUAUAUGUUCACUCCCUUUAUUUGCUUCCAAGUGUUUAUCUUUGUAUAUUUUAACACCCCUUAGUAAAAUUCCCAUCUCCACCACUAGUUCUAAACUCGAUGUAUAAUGGACCUACCCAUCUCCACUCAAAUACCAGGCUGUUAUCAGCAGCAGAGUUAGAACACGUGAAGUGCGCCUAACCCACACAACGAGCUACACUCUUACCCCUAGAUCAAAGCCCUAGGGGCAUAUCUACUUUGCUCUAUUCAGAUCCACUUCUUUCUCAAACCAAUAAAUAAUUUAUCUUUUAAAGCAAACCAAGGAUUUCCUAAGCUAAAAUUUAUAGGUUAAGAAAAAGCACAUAUAUUGAAUUUAACGUCCUGCGCAUACACAAGAGAAUUAAAAAUCUGAACUUUCACUUAAAACAGAAAAGCAUCAGAUUCAUGAAAAUCCCACAAAUCCUCAAAGCAAAUCAAGAAAAAAAAAACAAAAAUCCACCAAAUCUUUUUCAUAAUUCAAGCAAUCAAACUACAACCAAAAACUAUCUAAAAAAUUUUACAAAAAUCAUUUCCUCAAUUAAACAAAAAAAAAAACCAACUCAGAUCGCACCACAAAAACCCCAAAUCCAAGCACCUUUUAAACAAUAAAAAAUAUCCCAGAUCGAAAACAACAUAAUAAAUCCAGCUAACCCAAAAACUAGGGGGGGAAAGGCAAGGAUUAGAAAUAAAUAAUAUCAGUAACUUUAAUUAGAAUUUAGAAGUAAGAGGAUGCUAGUUAUUCAUACCUAUGAAUUUGUGAAAUCAGGAGGAAAAGGCAAAGGAAUGAAUUGAAAGGGAAAAAAAACGAAAAUGAAAAAUUUAAGGCAAAGAUGCUAAUUUUAGAGUAUUUAUAUGAAAAAGACGUCAGCUUUGACUUUUUUCUCCGUGUGAAGACCAAAUUGUCCUCUAUUAUCACGAAAUUAAUGUGUAACUUCAUAUUUGAAGCAAGGAAUUUCAUCUAAAGAAAGUGGUAAAACUAGUAUGGGCUAGUCAGUUUUCGGACUAAUUAUUUAAAAAUAGCUAGCGUUUAUAGCCAUUAUUUUGUUGCAAACACGGAAAGUUUCAGUAUAAUAUACUGGAAAUCGGUGCACCUAUAUAUAAAUUUCUAAUAUAUUAUGAUAGAACUCCAACAAAGAAAGUUUCAGUAUAAUAUACUGGAGUUCUAGUAUAUUAUACUGGAGUAUUUUUCUGAAUUUUAAAUAAUAUUUUCGUUCAAAUUUAUCUUUAUAUGAAAAGUAGCUAAAUUCGAUUACUUUUGAAAUUGUGAUUAUUUUUAAAUGACCACUUGUAAAUUUAAUUUUUCCCAAGAAAGUAUAAUAUGUUUGUAUUUGUAUUGAGACCCGAAUAAAUAUGAAUUUACACCAAAAAGUCUUAUAUUAAGGGUAAAGUAAUUUUGACAAUAUACUGCUAAGGUUCGAAGCCGAGACUUUUGGUUAAUAAGGUUUCGUUGUACUCAAGCAUUGAGAAUGAAAAUAAUUAUAGUAGGAAGCUCUUUCUUUUUAAUAUGUCUGGCACGAAUUUGAAUUAAUAGGAAUUAAUAGAUUUCGAUUAUUGAAUAAUUAUAUUAUUACAAAUUUACAAUAACUAACAUGUUUCAAUUCUAAAUAUAAUUGGGUCACUUAUAAAAAUUCUCGCCAAUAUUUUUCAUAUACCGAAUAAUUAUACUAAAGAAAGUUUCAUAUAAUUCACUUUAAAAUUAGAACUCAUGAAUUUGAAUAAGCACAUUAAUAACUUUUCCUUUUCAAGUUAAAAUUUUAGAUUUAUUUUAUUCAUGUAGGCAAUGAAUUUGAUUUGGUUGUUAUAAGAAAUUUAAAAGAUUUUGGUAUGUAACUAAUGUUUUUUCAAAUUAUAUUCACACUGAUUAAUCAUAACUUUGUAAAGUUCAUAAGUGUAUUAUUUUUUUUACCUAUUUAACUUACAAAUUCAGAUAUAGUUUCUUAAGUUUCAAGUCAAUUUUAUUUUGUUACUAUAAUCUUCAUCAUAAAGAAGAUAUUACUUCCAAUUUCAAGAUUUUGGUUAGAAGUUCAAAUAUUCAGUGUAAAAGAAAUUCUUGAUGCAUAUAAAUAGCCGUGAUAUAUCGUUUCUUAUAACCUCGAAAACAACAACAACAACAACAACAAUCUAGUAUAAUCUUAUACCUACCCUUGGGUAGAAAGGCUGUUUCCAAAUAGACCCCCGACAUACUUCCCUCCAAGAACUUCUCACCUUGCUCUUGGGGAGACUCGAACUCAAAACCUCUCGGUUGGAAGUGGGGGUUGCUUACCAUCAGAGCAACCCCUCUUGUCUUAAUAACCUCGAAAACAAUUGAUCAAUAAACUUUAUAAAUGUAGAAUAAGAAGGUGAAGGGCAUCAAAAGAUCCACAUGCUCAAGACUAAACGAGCCUACCACCAAAAGAUGUGAUGCAGUGGAUGAGACUGAUCUUCCCUUAACCAAAGAUCAUAAGAUUGAGCCUUAGGUAUAAAAAAAUUCUUGGUAAGAAGCAUUUCCCCCCGAAUGAAACCUUACACAGCACGAAUUUAAAUAUAAUAGGGCUCUAAUAUAAGUAUCGGACACCCGAUGAAAAGAAAAAUAAGCCUAAUCAAAAUAGGUUCGGCGAGUUUGAAAUGCGAGAAGAAGUUUCAUGAGGAAACGAGGUAAUCAAAUUUGAAGCUUGGUUAAAUUUAUUGCUCUCCAUGUAUAACCGUUUAAAGCAAUUAGAAAAUGAGACUACAUCUUCGCUAGGGUGUUCAAACCGAACCGGAAAAUCGCACCAAUUGAAAACUCAAACUAAAUCGAUUAAAAAAUCCGAUUAGGUUUGGUUUGACUUGAUUUGAUAUCGAAUAAAAAAUCCGAGCCAAACCGACAUAUAAUAUAUAAGUUUUAUUUAUAUUUUUAAGAGUUUAUAGUGAUUUUUCUUUAGAAAAUGUAGAAAUAUUUGGGAUCCUCUCAUGUAUUAACCCUGAAAGCGUAAAUUAGCGAAAAAUUAUUAUUAGACGACUAAGAAAAUAAUUAUCAUGUGUUAUUAAAAAAUUCUCUAAUUAGAAUAUUUUAAUAGAUCAUAUGUUUGUCAAUUUUUUCCAUAUUUACUAAACAUAUAUUCACUUAUCAAUGCUUUAUCUAUUAUUUUAAUAAAGUAAGACUGAAGUAAUAUUCAUAUUAAAAAUUUGAAAAAUCCGAUAAAACCAAACAAAUCCAAACCGAUAUAGGGUUUGGUUUGAUUUUGGUAAAAACCAAAUCAACACGAUCCAUGUACCCCUACUCUUCGCCACAAAACCCUCAUGAAAAUGUAAAUAAUGCACCUAAUGUUUCAUAAAUAAAUAUUCCCUAAAUAAUAUCAUUUGUCAAAAUCCUAGGCAACAAAAAUUAUUGAUAUAUGCAAACCAAUAAUUUUUGUUUCCUAGGGCUUUGAUAAGUGAUUUUAUAUGGGAUUGAUUUAUUUACGAAGCACUAGGUGUGUUAUGUAUAUUUUCUCGAGUGGCUUGUGACAGAAGAUAAAAUCUUAUUCUCUAGUUGCUUUAAACGAUUAUUUAUUGUGGAAUAAUAAAUUUAACCAAGCUUCAUAUUUGAUUACCAUUAAAAGAGGUUUAGCAGUGAGUAAAAGAGUAUUAUCAUUAUAUUUAUUUUAUAUAAAACAUUUAUGGGUUUGAGUUAUAGAAACAACCUCUAACAAAAAAUGCAAAGUAAGACUACUCCCGGACCCCGCACAUAACGGGAGCUUAGUGCACCCGGCAGUAGGGGUGGGCGUUCGGACAGUUCUGAUUGGAUUUCCGGAUCGAAGAAAUGACAACCCAAAUCCAAUCCAAAUAAGAUCGAAUUGGAUCACAUUUUUAAGUUCGGCUUCGGGUUAAUCGGUUUGAAUAAUAUGAAUUUUCGGUUUUGAGCGUAUAAGUUUCUACUUUUUACAAAAAUAAAUAUCCAAAUGAAGUACACAUGUUAAAUUGUCCGAAAACUUUCUCGUUCUUGUCGCAAUCAUCCAAAUAAAGUAUUCAAUUAAUAAAAUUAUUAUCAAAAGAAUACAGCAAAGACAUUAAUACGGUCGAUAAGAAGUAGCAAUAGUAAAAUCAUGUCCAAAUAAAAAAAUGUUCUAACCAUAAUUGUAAUUAAUUUGAAUAUAUAAGUCAUAAGAUAAUAUCUAAUGGGUAGGAUAUUGAACUUAUUACUAUUGACAUAUGGAUAACAUACUAAAUAUAAAGUAUAAAAACUUUAAAUUUUCGGAUAUCCAAUAAUCUGAAGUACCAAUUUCAAUAUUCAAUCCAAAAUCCAAAAUUUUUAAAAAUUAAAUCCAUAAUCCAAAAAUUCAUAAAAAUCGAAUUUGGAUCUCGGAUUUGCCCAAACUAUGCCCACCCUACCCGACAGCCCUUUUUGUUAGAAAAAAAGAAUAAAGUGUACAAUUUUUAUGUAUUGACAUGUAAAGUACAGUUCUUCAUUGUCGUUUUAUUGUAUUUUAAUGUUCUUCAAUUAAGACUUUCAAUUAAAUGUGAUAUAUUAGACAAUGCAAUCUUGAGAAGGAGCACUCAAAGUUAUGAUUCAACCCUUUGACAACUCUAUUCAUUGUGAAGGAAAUUGAAGGUUCAAAAACAAAAACUUUGAAUGCAUAUCUUUGCCCAUAAACUACAACUUAAUUAAACAUGUAUUCAUAAGGUUGAUGCAAAUAUACUAUCGUCGUCUCGAGUACAAAAUUGAAACUCAGUGCAGCGUGCUUCUUCACGAGACAAUGUCACUGUUUAAAUCCUUCGCCGAGGCCUGCUGGCAUUCCCAAGCUCUGCGCAAGAUCGCUCAUUCUUUCUUUCAUUGCCUGAAACAUAAGAGCCGUGUUAAGAAAUAACAAAUCUAAAGAUAUACAGGGUCUCGAGUCGAAACUAUAGCUUCUUUUGUGAAUAUGCCAUUGCUGGUGAAGCGUCUCUACCUCUAAUUGUUAACCCAAAGGUUCGUGUCACAUAGAGUAUAUAGAGAACCAUUGUUUGAUUCCCCUUGGGUGGAUAAAAAUGGGCACUGCAAUGCCCUAAGCACCGGCUUAGUGCGAGGUCUAAAAAGGACCGGACCAUACUGGGUCUUACGUAUGCAGCCUUAUCUUGCACGAAAAAUAUUCUCUACGUUUCAUCUUACAUGAUGGUGUUUGACAAACACAGAAUUUAAGAAAGAAAAUAGUUUGGAACUUGUGGCCUCUAACAUGCAAUGAUAUUUUUGCAGCUAUAACAUUUAUGUUAUUAAGGGUAAAAUGAGAAUUUAAAAUUUAUAGUUUCUAAAUAUAGAUAGGAGUUAUUAUUUUUGAAACAAACUAAAAAAGAAGGAGCAUCAAACAAAAUGAAACGAGGGAGUGAAACUAAAAGGAAGAAGUUUAAGGUUCUUACUAGUACACUUUUCUGAUGUGCAUCCUUGUAUGCCUCUGUAAUUAAAAGUGAAAGUUUCUGCACAAGAAAAACAUUCAGACUCUCUUUAACAUUUGGGAACUGACGCGGCACAAAAUCACAUGGAUUCAUAUAUUGUUAUAUUCCACAUGGCUCCUUGAAAGGGGAAAGCGCCAAUGUAUAGUGCAACAACAACAACAACAACAACCCAAUGUAAACCCACAAGUGGGGUCUGGGGAGGGUAGUGAGUACGCAGACCUUACCCCUAUCCCGAGGGAGCAAAGAGGGGUAGUAGAGAAGCUUUUUCCGAAAGACGCUCGGCUCAAGAAGACGAACCAGACUCUUUCAGUUCUUGGAUGCGCAAAACAACCUAUCGACCAUGUAUAGUGCAUUCGUGAAUAGUUUCAUUUGUUCUGACAGAACAAGGGAGUAUACAGCAAAUGCCACUUGCAUAGUUUACUCGCUUAAGGCCAAGUAAAAGCAUCUUGAUUUUUAGGGAAAAAAAUAAUGGUUCAAUGAAAUAGUAUGUUAAAGGCCAAGCAUGAAUAAGUUAAAGAAUCUAAGGAUCUCAAUUGGCACAAUAAGCGGAGGUAGCUUCCCGGUAAACUGCAGAUAAAUUGGUAGCUUAAAUCAUACAGCAAAAGACGAUUAACAAUUGAGAAUCAUCUCUAAGUCACCAAGUAUUAAGUAUGUAACAGAUUUUGACAGGUAUAGAAGUAGAUAACUCAGAUGUUCUAUGCAAUAUAUACUCACUUCUGGCCCCAAUUCCAUGGCAACCUCUGUAAUUUCAGUACGUAUAGGUUGCUGAUUCCCAGACAGCGUUACCUGAAAAUGAUGUAAAUACUGAUAAGUCCCUAAUAUUGCUCAUAAGAAAAUGUAUCUUAUACAUUGGAAUAUCUCUAACGUUUCCAAGUUAUCAUUUCUGUCAACAUAUGUCUAUAUUAAUCAUAUCCAGAGAGACGAGUGAAAGAGAGGAGAAGACACUAGACAAUAUAAGAGGUACCGGAAGGACUCUUACAUAAGAGAUCAAAUAAUUUUAGCUUGAACUUUUGGCAAGAAAUGCUGGCCAAGACUGAGCAUUCUAUGUCUAAACCCAAAAAACAGACCCAACACUUUAAGAUCGGCCACCAGACUGCAUCUUAAUUUCAGGGGCAGCUGAAUCAGUAUUUCAGUUAGGUCAAUUAGAAGUUAUCUCUCCAGUUAGAUGCACCAAAAUAAAACAAGAAAAGACGAUACCUUGAUUAGUUCACCUUCACAGUAACCAUCAAAUUCUGCUCUGAAAAUACAAACCACCAAAAAUAGAAUAAGUAGAAAAAUGAUAUACGGUAUUCUCAUAAAGCAUGCUUAUACAACAACAACAACAAGAAGAAGAACAACAACCCAGUAUAAUCCCACUAAGUGGGGUCUGGGGAGGGUAGUGUGUACGCAGACCUUNNNNNNNNNNNNNNNNNNNNNNNNNNNNNNNNNNNNNNNNNNNNNNNNNNNNNNNNNNNNNNNNNNNNNNNNNNNNNNNNNNNNNNNNNNNNNNNNNNNNNNNNNNNNNNNNNNNNNNNNNNNNCCCACCCUUGCUCUUGGGGAGACUCGAACUCACAACCUCUCGGUUGGAAGUGGGGGUUGCUUACCAUCAGAGCAACCCCUCUUGUCUCAUAAAGCAUGCUUAUAAGAAGGUAAAAACAUACUACAAACUGUACUAUAUAGAAACAUACAAAGCGAGCUCUUUUUGUACUCGCACUGCCUCAACUUGAACCACAUUUUGUGCCUUCUUCACUGUCUCGUAUAAGUUUUGCAUGUUUCCCAGAAGACCUGCCUAAGAUCAAGAUAUACAAACUGAGGUUGGUCGAGCAAAAUUAUACAAUACUUUAUAUGAGUGAACAACAGGUGAAGCAUAAGAAAGAUAGAACUACAAGCAUGCUUAGGCUGAGGAGCAGCAGCUUAUACAUUUGAUAAUGACUGCAUUACUUAUAUAGCUGAACCAAAACAUCAAACCCCAUUUCCGAAGUGCCCGGUGAAGGUAAAACAAUAAACAAAUAUACCUCAAAAUUCAUAUAUGUUGGGUCCAUUAUAUGAAUCCUCAAUAUUCAUUAUGCUCUAUUAGGACUCAAUAAUUUGCCUUUUAGCAAAGUAAUCACAACAAAUGUGCCAAAGCUAUAACUAAUUUAAAUGUAACAACAUGACUAUGUGAAUACCACUAGCUGGUAAUGUUAAGCAUCUAUUAUGUGUUCUUUUCAGCUAACUCAGUGUGACUUCAAGAUAGACUUUUAAAAAACUUGCAUUUGCCAUCCAGGUAUUUUUAGAACCAUGACACUUCCUAUGGACGUGACACUUCUGUAACGUACUAAAGUUGAGUUUGUUGUUUCAUUAGAUUGUCAUCACUUGCACUCAUGGUUACCCGAGGUUUGAGGCUAACGAGCUUUAAAACUGAACAGAGACAUUUCCUCUGAUUUUCUGUCCACGAACAAACCUUACGAAUAUGUUGGGGGUAUUUAAGUCUAUUUAAGUCUUGAACAGACUAGAACAAAAAAAUUUCAGCACCCAAGGAAGAUAUGGUCUUGGAUGUCUGAACGCCCCUCUGUAUUUCAUUUUGUUUGUACCCAUUAACCAACCCCUUCAUGUUUCAUAAAUAGACGUUUAUCAAGGCUCAUCAGCCAGUUCAUUGUUAAAAAAAUUUCCUUGAGCCGGAGAACUAUCGGAAACAGCCUCUCUACCCUCAAAGUAGGGAAAGGUCGGUAUAUACACUAUCCUCCCCAUUCCCCACUGUGGAAUUAUACUGGGUUUGGCGUUGUUGUAGUUAGUUCAUGGAAGGAUCAACAUCACCAACCUUAGGGGCCACUUCAAAUCACGAUAAUUUGAACAAAGAGAAAUGAAUCAAGGCUCUCCAUCCACCUUUGUAUCAUGUAAUCCAUUGCCCAUUAUCAAGGGUAAUAAUGACGUGAACAAGAAUUGAAAUCAUUCUUUCCCAAGGAAUUUCUUUAAAUUUGCUAAAUAUUUUUGAAAUUAGAACUCCCAAACAAUGCCACUAACAAAAGCUUGGUGUUUAAGCAGAGAGUAGAGGGGCGGGCCCAUUAUCCACCGAGUUUCGAACAGUGCGCCAUUGACCCUUCGCGGUAUCAUAAAAAUACCAAAAAGAAAAAACAAGGAACUCCCAAGCAACCAUGUUUCUUGAAUGAGCUUCUGUUUAUUUUUUAUUUUUUUUAUUUGCACCGGGUGCCCGAGUCUUUAAGAGCCCCGACUAAUUCCGGGGGUGCACAUGCCCUCGUUAAGGAGUUUGCCGCAAGUGCAUCACGGUUAAUUCAGGUUUUACCCAGUCCGAUGGCCCUCAGGAAUUGUUUGCACCCAGUGGGUUUCGAACUUGGGACCUUGAAAGGGAGCAAACCCCAAGGCUCAAGUUAAUAGUCAUCAUGCCCAUGAACUUGAUUCUUUUAAUUGCGGAGAUAAUAUUAGCAAGCUACCAGAAGAAGAUUUUGCAAUGUGUUCUUUGCAUGCAUAUAUAGCUUAAAAUAAUUUUUAAUAAGUCAGUGAACAAGGUAGAUCCACUGUCAAUGUAAGCAACAAAAUUCUCUACAAUGAAGGGAAUAUACCAGAUACCUUAUUGUUCUCAUUGUCGUCUUUUUUGCCUCCAAACAGAGCACGUAUUUGCAUAGGUCUGGGAUUAUCUGAAACCUUUCGACAGCCGGAUCUUGAUAAUGUCCACAUGCCUACUUGAUUCACAUUAGGACUUGGAUUGUCUGCAAAGACCAAAAUUGUGAAAUAACAUAUACUUCAUUAGGUGCUUAAUUUUCUCAGUGUUGAAACAACAUACAGAAAGUCAAAAUUUACACCCAAACUGCGCAGAGCCAGAAGUCCACGUUCAUCCUCUUACGUCUUUUAACAGUAAUAACCAAUCAUUGAAAACAAUUAUUCCGAGACGUGCUUGAUCUUUUAGCCAAAGAAAUGUCUAAAUAGAAAGAAACUUUGACCAAAUAUUGACGCUCAUACACGCCAUUUCCCUCUAAAUUCAGAAGUUUGAAACAAUGUCUGGAACACAACAUGAUGAUAAAGCAUCAACCUUUUUGCUAAGCAUGAGCUUUUCCUCUUGAUAGUAAAGGCACAUUGGUACAUGUAAUAUGAAGGUUAAUAUAUUUCGUAGCUUAAGACAAAAGUAAUCACCCUCAACUUAUUUAUUACUGAAUCAAACCUUCAUAAACAUUACCACACAUUUGAAGGAAAUGGAAAACACAUAAUCUGCAUAGACAGUCAGAUUCGGUGGCAGUUGCUGGGAAAAUUGAAAAGAUUAAUAGGAGUUUCUCAUUGACAUUAAGGGUUUACUAAGAUAUAUUUUUAUCUGCAAAUAGGCACGGAAAGAUAGAAUGUCAGGGCAAAGGCGGCUACAAAAUUUAUCAGCCAGUGGGUAUAGACUAUAGAGUGCCACCACACUACUACUCCUUUGUGGCAAUGGUCGCAAGCUUACAUAAGCAUAUUUUUUUCAAAAUCGUUAGUAUAAGAGUGUGUGCGUGUGUUCAUAGAAAGGAGAGAAGGUUGGCAUCUCCACUGAUUGGGACAGGAACAACCUUCGGGCUUUACCUGUUAUCAGGAGCGUGUAUCUGUGUACUUUGAGUUGGAAGGGUACAUCCACAUUAAGGAACUUCCACAAGUUGGAAAAUUUUGUCGUUACCAGAAAAUUGCAAGCUUUACAUCAAGAAAGCUAAUAGCUUCGAGUUACUGGCUCUCUUUAUCUUAUUAGGGCCUUUUACAAACUAUAACCAUAAACAUAGCCAUAACGGCAUCUCUUUUUGUAAAUGACUAACAAUUACAUGCCAUCAAAAAUUGAUAGGAUUUUCCCAUUGUUAUUAGAGGUUUACUAAAAUAUAUCUUCGUCUGCAUAUGGGACAUCAAAAGAAAAAUGUCAGGACAAAGGCGGAUACAGGAUUUUUAAGUCAGUGGGUAUAAAGUGCCAACAUACAACCACUCCUUUGUGGCAACGGACGCUAUAUUUCAAUAUUGUUCAUGUGUGGGUGCGCGUGCGCGCAUUUCAGCAGGAAGCACACAUCCGCGUUGAAAAACUUUCAAAGGUUGGAAAAUUUUGUGAUUACCACCAAAAUUGGCCUCUUUCAACAAAGAAAGUUGCUACCUUUACAUCAAGAAAGCUAAUAGCUUCUACCUACUAGCUCUCUCUAUCGUUUCUAGGGCCUUAUGUAAAAUAUCAACACAAACUCCUUAGCAACAAAGAAUUACUAGUACCUUCAUUUCAUUUUAUGUUAACUUGUUCGAUUACGCACGAGUUUAAGCAGUGUUAUCAAAGGCGAAAAGCGCAAAAAAUCUUAAGGCCCGUUGGGGCUUUAAGCGCAAAUAAAGCGUGGGCUUUAAUAAAAAAAGAUGCAACUGGAGAAAAAUUAAAAAUAUGUAUAUGUUGUCCAAUACUAAUAAUUAUAAGCAUGAAUAACAAAUAUAGACAAGAGGGGUUGCUCUGAUGGUAAGCAACCCCCACUUCCAACGGAGAGGUUGUGAGUUNNNNNNNNNNNNNNNNNNNNNNNNNNNNNNNNNNNNNNNNNNNNNNNNNNNNNNNNNNNNNNNNNNNNNNNNNNNNNNNNNNNNNNNNNNNNNNNNNNNNNNNNNNNNNNNNNNNNNNNNNNNNNNNNNNNNNNNNNNNNNNNNNNNNNNNNNNNNNNNNNNNNNNNNNNNNNNNNNNNNNNNNNNNNNNNNNNNNNNNNNNNNNNNNNNNNNNNNNNNNNNNNNNNNNNNNNNNNNNNNNNNNNNNNNNNNNNNNNNNNNNNNNNNNNNNNNNNNNNNNNNNNNNNNNNNNNNNNNNNNNNNNNNNNNNNNNNNNNNNNNNNNNNNNNNNNNNNNNNNNNNNNNNNNNNNNNNNNNNNNNNNNNNNNNNNNNNNNNNNNNNNNNNNNNNNNNNNNNNNNNNNNNNNNNNNNNNNNNNNNNNNNNNNNNNNNNNNNNNNNNNNNNNNNNNNNNNNNNUACCAGGGUAGGGGUAAGGUCUGCGUACAUACUACCCUCCCCAGACCCCACUAAGUGGGAUUAUACUGGGUUGUUGUUGUUGUUGUUGUUGAAUAACAAAUAUAUGGACAAGGAAAAUGAAGCAAAUUUACGAGUAAAAUAGAAAUUGUUUAAUGUCGCCUUUUUAGGAUUACACUCAUUGGCAAGGAAAAGUAUGUCUUAGAGCCUUGAUGCGACACUAAAGCACACACAAAGCAAGACGAAGCGCUCAAUAUGUUUUGUGCUUCGCUUCAAGGCUUAAGUGUGCUUUAAGCGCACCUUUGACACUUUCAGCGCUUGUGGACUUAAACAUGUCAUGAUAUUUGUGCAGCUACAAAUUUAUGUUGUUAAGGGUAAAAUUGGAUGUUUAUAUUUAAUGAAACAGACUAAAAAGCAAACAAUGUCAUGCCAACAUAGGCAUCUCAUUUUGUAAAUUACUUACACUUCAUACAUCAUCACUAGCCAAAGUAAAAUAAAUUGGAUGUACUAAUUAAAUUGCCAGUUUGUUCGGCAAAGAAUUACUACCACCUUGUAUGUCAACAAAUCAACAAAUGAGGUCUGCCGAGAGUUGUAUGUACACUCACCUUACCCCUAACCGGGCAGAGAGGAAUCCUCUAUGUUCAUUCCAAUAAUAACAAAUUAACAGUCAGCUACAUGAAUCUCUAUGUUCAUUCCAAUAAUAAAUAAUUUGUCUUUUAUAGAAAACUAAUAGUUCUCUAAAUAAAAAAUUAACUAAAAUUUAAUUAGAAUAAAAUAACUUAUAGGAAAAAAAAAAGAGCUUACAGAAGGAUACUGAGGAGAAGUUAUGGAGGUUUGAAAUCCUAGCUGAGAGAGCACUUGUUGACGCCAUUUUUCACAAAAGAUAAAUUGAAGGGAAAUUUGUAAUUUCAGAGAAGAUUGAAUGAUUUUUUGAAUUAUCGAUAUUGCAUCAGUUUAUUCUGAAAAAAAUAUCUAUAUGCAUCUUUUCGAGGUUGCAGUUUGGACUUCUUGAUAAACGUUAGUUUGGCCCCUCAGGUUUUGAAAAUAUUAGUAUGAUGCCGAAUAUUUUAAUAACUUAUACUAUCACCCUUCUAAAUAAGAGUUUAGUAACUUUUAUUUAUUGAAAUAACCUUUAAAAAGUUUUAGAAAGAAUUUUUGGCGAAGAAAACUAUUUAUGAUUGAUAUAUAUAUAAUUAGAAAAAUCCUCUAUAUUUAUUUAAUAACUUUUUUUAUUGAUAAAAGAAUAAAUAUUAUUUUUAUUCCAAGGUGGAGAGUUUUGUUUUUUCCAUCGACCUAUUUGCAUAAUUCAUUUACAACGUGCUUGGAUAGUUGUUACCUGUUGUAUCGUAUUAUAUUAUUACUUUAAAUACAAUAUUUGUUUUGAUUGUUACUUAAAUUUUGUUGUAUCGUAUCGUUAAUUUUGUCGUUGCAUAACGACGGAAUGUGUCACUUUAUGUAACGAACGAUUCUAAUGUCGUUGCGUGGUUUCCUUGUUCUUUUGUGUCAUUCUCACCCUUAAUUAUUGUUAAAUAAUUUUAUUUUAUUAUUUAUCUUAUUAUAUAGUAAUUUAUCAUGUAUCAUAAUUUUUCUUUAUAAUAUACAAGUUUAUCUUCAUAUUGCUGGUGCGUGAUAUCAUGAAACGACGACAAACAACAGAAUCUAUCCACACAUUGUAUUCAUCAAACUAUACAAUACAAUAUAAUACGAUAUGAUACGAUACAGUAUAAAACGAUAUGUAACAACCAUCAAAACAAGUUGUUAAAAAAUAAAAAAAUUAUUUCUAUAUCUAUAGAAGAAUGUAUAAGAAAAAUCUUAGAGAAAGUUAAGAACUCAUUGAAAUUUUCAAGUAAAAAGGGAGGGAGGAGGGAGGAAGAAUAAUAAGAAAGAAAGAAAAGAAGAAUGGUUUUAUUCACAUGUUGAACCAAUGUUUAUUUAUAAUCGUUGUUUAUAUUAAAGUAAGAAAUACAUGAUAUAUACUUUGUAAGCAUUACAAGUAAAUAUAAUAUAAUAUAAACAUUUAAUGAGAAUAAGUUAUUUGCCGUCCAAUAAUUUUUUAAUAAUUAAUCAAGAAUGAAAAAGGGUAUUUGGCUAAGCUUAUAAGCUGGUUAAAUUGGUUCAUAAGCACUUUUUAAUUUAUCUACGCAUUUGAUAAAUGCCGAAAGUGUUUAUAGGUUAAAAUCAGCCAUAAAUCAUAAAUUUGUCACCCCCAACUUAUAGUUUUUUUUAGCUUAUAAACACUUUUAGUUUGAUCAAGAUUUUUUUACUAGUUUAUCCUUAAUACUCCCUCGAUCCAAAAUAAGUAAUGUUUUGGAUGUUUUUAUACAGCUUAAUUAGCAUUGAUUAACAAUGAGAUUGAUCAUAUUAACCUUUACUAUCUCACAUAAACACUCCUAACACAUAUUCCAACACUAUUUACUUCAAGGACAAUGCAGAAAAUAAAAUAAUUAAUUCAUUCUUGAAAAAUCACUUAUUUUGGACCACAAAAAGACCAAAAAAUUACUUAUUUUGGACCGGAGGGAGUAAUAUUUUCCAAUUCAUAAAAUAUUUGUCCCAAAAUAAAUUUUCUAACUUUCUUUUCAUUCCAUAUCCGUAGUUCAUUUUUUUGGUUUUGCAAAAAAAAAAUAACUUUUUAACUUAUAAUCUUUUGUAAAGUAUUUAAGGAUAUUUUAAUUAUUUUAAUAAAAGAAAAACUUAUCAGUAUUUUUCUACCAAACACUUUAAUUGCUUAUUAUUUAUUCCAACACGUCUAUUCGAAAUAUAUAAAUGCUUAUUUAAAAAAUUAAUUUCAGCAAUUAAAAAUACUUUUCAUCACUUAGCUUAUCACAUAUUUACAACCAGCUUAUUUACGGUUGGCUAAACCAAAUAGGCUCUAACUUGAUUUUUGCUGGGUUUAUGUAUUUAAUUAAUAAAUUAAAUACUUAAAAAGGGUGAAUGAGAAAUGGAGGGAAAUUAAUUUUUUGAGUGAAAUUUCAAAUUUCCCCCCUUGGAAUAUAGACAUUGUCCCAUAUUGGAAUAGGAAAAAACUUUUUAUGGGUUUAUAAAUAAUUGCUCUUCUUUUAGCUCUUAAAGGCUUCAUUCGAAUUCGGUCAAAUGAUCGAUUGAAAUAUUAAUAUUAAAUCAAAUUGAUUUUUCUGUUUUUGUAACAGAAAAUUAACUACUCAUCAAUUUUUCUCUUUGUUAUUUUGUAAAUAGCUAUUUGAGUAAUGACAUAUAUGUUGUGGCAGUUUUGCAGAAAUAGUCAUUUUGAAGAGUUGCACCUCUUCAAAUUCCACCCCAAAUUUUGGCUAUAAAUACAAUACUAUUCUGCUCAGAAUUUCACUACGAGUUUUUGAAUUUUCUCUCCUUCUCUGCAUACUUUUAGCAUAUAAACAAAGCAAAAGUAAGUGUGAUUUGCUAUUGAUCUUUGUGUUUGCUGAAACACUGGCGUUUGGAAUAUCACUACACCAGUAUGUAAUUCGUUCUAUCCUGAGAGAAAAUAAUCCAUAACCUUGGGUGCUAGAAGGGGAUUAAAUUCUUUAAGGAUACAUUGCGAAUACAGUGAGCUCAAAUUACUUAUGAUCAUUUUUGUUUAUGUCAUUUCUAUUUAUCAUAAUUUUUGUUUAUAUUAAUUUAUAUUUCCAGAAUUGUUUUAUAAAUACAAGUUAGUGACAAUUUUCACUUUUUCCCUUUUCUUUCAUUCUUUCUCACAUACUUACACGGCAAUGAAUACAACCAAUUUUUGCACCUUCUCUGCCCACAUGUAUAUAUAUAACGAGAAAAUAACAAUAAGGAGUAAGAAAGAUAAUGGUCAGUAUCAUCAAAGGAUGUGGUACAAUGAGUAAGACUGCUUCUUCCUUAAUCAGAGGUCUCGAGUUCGAGUUUUGGAUAUGGAAGGAGCGUUUCCCCCCGAAUAUAAGUCUUAAACGGCGCGAACUCGAAUAUAGUCGAGCUCUAACGCGGGUACUUCCCUUAACCAGAGGUCUCGAGUUCGAGUUUUGAGUAUGGAAGGAGCGCUUCCCCCCAAAUGAAGCCAUACACUACGCAAGUCGGGCUCUAAUCGAGUACCGAAUACCAUAAAAAAGAUAAUUGUCAGUGAAAAACAGAAUUAUUGAAGCAGGCAACCAAACUUCAGUAAUCUCAUACCCACUUUUGAAUAAAGGUGAAAUCAAGAAUUUAACUUUUCUGCAUUCAAAUUUCAAACACAGAUGAGAUCUAGCAAAAUAAUUGCUCUUUCUUGGCCUAGCAUUGAUUUUGAGAGCUGAAACAGGUGGAGUUGGAGUGGUGUCACACAAUAACACAAGUUAGGUAUAGAAUACACUCUUCCCCCAUUCAGCAUAUUGUUCUUUUUUACCUAAUAAUUUAGUUUUCAAAAUUUACUUGUCCCAUUAAUUGAAUGGUGUCACACAAUAACAGAAAUUAGGUAUAGAUUAGACUCUUCCCCCAUUCAUCAUAUUGUUCCUUUUUACCUAAUAAUUUAGUUUCCAAAAUUUACUUGUCCCAUUAACUCGAGUUCGCGCCUUAAAAAACAAUUAUAGUACUGGGUUUUCGUGUUCUUGUAAAAAAAAAAUUAUUUUGUCGAACCAGAAAUUCUAGUUAAAUGUGAAAAAAUAUUUACUAUUUCACCACACCUCCUGAUGGUUAGCACCCGAGCGGAAGCUAAAGCCAUUAGACGAAUUCUGUAUGGGUCAAAAUCGACUUCGUGUUAAUUAAUGGGAUUAACGCAUUUAUUAAAAUCUAUUUGUGAUUAACAAAUGGUAUGGUCGUCUAUUGAUAAUGCUCUCGGGCAACUAUCCGAUUCGACAACUAAGGUUACGGGCUGGCCGUCCUUACGAGGGCGUCCUCUCGAUAUGGUCACAACCACUCGGCGCCAGCUGGCAGGUCUCGUAGCUAUAAAUACUAAGAGAAAGAACCCUAAAAAGGGGGUUGCUUCUUCUCUUUCUCCAUACUUCUCUUCCAAGAGAAGAGAAUACACAUCAUUGUAAGGCUCUGAACCUCUCCAUGGAGAGGAAGACCUACCAAUAUCAUUAAUAAAAGAUCUUCAUCUUCUUCCCCUUAAUCAUUAACUGUUGUCUCUCACUUUUUUAUUCAUUUGGCUUAUUGGUUUAUUACGAUCUGCUAAGAUUGGCCAUCUAUCGAUUUUAAUUGAUUUAUGCUUAUAAAGUGUGUGAGAACCUUGAGCUAAAUAAUUUGGCGCCGUUUGUGGGGAUUUCAUAGCAGAAUCGCGUAGUUAUCCUUAUGCCAAAAAAGGAAAGAAAGCAACUCAGCUCAAGCGAGCCAAAGCAGCAUGUCGGAUCGAAGGAAGUCAAAAGCCUCGAGAUGAGCUUGCUUCCACAUCCCCGCGUCUCCGAGCAAGGAGAAGAAGAAGAAGCAGAAGAAGAAGAAGAAGAAUAAGAAGAAGAAGAAGAAGAAGAAGAAGAAGAAGAAUGUAAAGCCUCGAGAUGAGCUUGCUUCCACAUCCCCGCGUCUCCGAGCAAGGAGAAGAAGAAGAAGCCGAUCCCUCAUCUGUAGAAAAUCACUCUAUCUAUGAUAUGUGCGCUUUGGUUGUAUGAGCAUGAUUUUCAGGUAUAGGUUUUGAUGAAUGACAAACAAUAAAGUCAAGNNNNNNNNNNNNNNNNNNNNNNNNNNNNNNNNNNNNNNNNNNNNNNNNNNNNNNNNNNNNNNNNNNNNNNNNNNNNNNNNNNNNNNNNNNNNNNNNNNNNNNNNNNNNNNNNNNNNNNNNNNNNNNNNNNNNNNNNNNNNNNNNNNNNNNNNNNNNNNNNNNNNNNNNNNNNNNNNNNNNNNNNNNNNNNNNNNNNNNNNNNNNNNNNNNNNNNNNNNNNNNNNNNNNNNNNNNNNNNNNNNNNNNNNNNNNNNNNNNNNNNNNNNNNNNNNNNNNNNNNNNNNNNNNNNNNNNNNNNNNNNNNAUUAAAUCAUUUUAUUAAAUCAUAUUUAUCAUAAACAUAUUUUAUUAAAUCAUAUUUAUGAUACUAAAGUUUUCAUUUUAACCAAAAUAGUUUUUUAAGUAAGUUUUCAAUUCUGGAAGAGAAUAAUCGAUUAUACACUUGAGCAUAAUCGAUUAAAAUGGUUUUUGAAGUUAGUCUUCAAUUCUGGAAGAGAAUANNNNNNNNNNNNNNNNNNNNNNNNNNNNNNNUAUCAAGUGUAUAUCAGUGGUAUAUAAUCGAUUAUACAAAGCUGCAUAAUCGAUUAUGCUUAGACCGUUGCCAGUGUUUUGAACACUGCCUUCAUAUAGUCGAUUAUGUGGUAUGAAAUAAUCGAUUAUUUGGUAGAAAAUCAGCUUUCAGAUUUUCUGAACGUUAGAAAUAAUCGGUUAUCUCAAAUUACAUAAUCGAUUAUAUGGCACAAAAUCAGCAUAAUUGAUUGCCAAUUAAGCNNNNNNNNNNNNNNNNNNNNNNNNNNNNNNNNNNNNNNNNNNNNNNNNNNNNNNNNNNNNNNNNNNNNNNNNNNNNNNNNNNNNNNNNNNNNNNNNNNNNNNNNNNNNNNNNNNNNNNNNNNNNNNNNNNNNNNNNNNNNNNNNNNNNNNNNNNNNNNNNNNNNNNNNNNNNNNNNNNNNNNNNNNNNNNNNNNNNNNNNNNNNNNNNNNNNNNNNNNNNNNNNNNNNNNNNNNNNNNNNNNNNNNNNNNNNNNNNNNNNNNNNNNNNNNNNNNNNNNNNNNNNNNNNNNNNNNNNNNNNNNNNNNNNNNNNNNNNNNNNNNNNNNNNNNNNNNNNNNNNNNNNNNNNNNNNNNNNNNNNNNNNNNNNNNNNNNNNNNNNNNNNNNNNNNNNNNNNNNNNNNNNNNNNNNNNNNNNNNNNNNNNNNNNNNNNNNNNNNNNNNNNNNNNNNACGGUGUGUUCUUUCUUUAUUAUUUCAAUUACCGUAUUUACUUUAUUCCUGCAAUUUUAAUUCCGCAUUAUUUAUCAAUAUUCUCGUGCCUCACUAUUCCCCCCCCCCCCUCUAGUGAACGGCAUAAAUCCUAACAUCAUCCAUAUGGGAAAAUGUGCAUAAGGUACCUCACCCCCUUCUCACACGGGAUCCUGCCAGAAAGGAGGAAAGCAAAAGAGUAUCUCGAACCGAGAUCUGUAACAGGGUGACCCGCGGGAGCCAGUCAAAUAAAAAACUACAAGACAGUUAGGCAAGAUCUGGAACCAGGACCAAAUCCCAACCCCAACACGAAGCGGAAAAUAAAAGGUUCAACUACGGUUGAACCGGGACUCAGGCUAUGCACCUUCGACUUCAAAAAUUACGAAGGUUAAACUACGGUUGAACCGGAACUCAGGCUAUGCGCCUUUGACUUUAAAGAUUAUAAAGGUUCUACUACGGUUGAACCGGGACUCAGGCUAUGCACCUUCGAUUUCAAAAAUUACGAAGGUUCAACUACGGUUGAACCGGGACUCAGGCUAUGCGCCUUCGACUUCAAAAAUUACGAAGGUUCAACUACGGUUGAACCGAGACUCAGGCUAUGCGCCUUCGACUUCAAAGAUUACAAAGGUUCAACUGCGGUUGAACCGGACUCAGGCUAUACGCCUUCGAGUUUAAAAACUACGAAGGUUCAACUACGGUUGAACCGGGACUCAGGCUAUUCGCCUUUGACCUCAAAAAUUAUGAAGGUUCAACUACGGUUGAAUAGAGACUCAGGCUAUGCGCCUUCGACUUUAAAAAUUACGAAGGUUCAACUACGGUUGAACUGGGACUCAGGCUAUGCGCCUUCGACUUUAAAAAUUAUGAAAGUUCAACUACAGUUGAACCGAGACUCAGGCUAUGCGCCUUCGACUUCAAAAAUUACGAAGGUUCAACUAUGGUUGAACCGGGACUCAGGCUAUGCACCUUCGACUUCAAAGAUUACAAAGGUUCAACUAUGGUUGAAUCGGGACUCGGGCUAUGCGCCUUCGACUUUAAAAAUUACGAAGUUUCAACUACGGUUGAACCGGGACUCAGGCUAUGCGCCUUCGACUUCAAAGAUUACAAAAGCUUAGCUACGUUGAACCGGGACUUAGGCUAUGCGCCUUCGACUUCAAAAAUUAUGAAGGUUCAACUACGGUUGAAUCGGGACUCAGGCUAUGCGCCUUCAACUUCAAAAAUUAUGCAGGUUCAACUAUGGUUGAAACGGGACUCAGGCUAUGCGCCUUCGACUUCAAAGAUUACAAAGGUUCAACUACGGUUGAACCGGAACUCAGGCUAUGUGCCUUCGACUUCAAAAAUUGCGAAGGUUCAACUAUGGUUGAACUGGGACUCAGGCUAUGCGCCUUCGACUUCAAAAAUAACAAAGGUUCAACUACGGUUGAACCGGGACUCAGGCUAUGCGCCUUCGACUUCAAAAAUUACAAAGCUUCAACUAUGAUUGUACCGGGACUCAGGCUAUGCGCCUUCAACUUCAAAAAUUACGAAGGUUUAACUUCGGUGGAACCGGGACUCAGGCUAUGCACCUUCGACUUCAAAUAUUACAAAGGUUCAACUACGGUUGAACCAGGACUCAGGCUAUGCGCCUUCGACUUCAAAAUUACGAAGGUUCAACUACGAUUGAACCGGGACUCAGGCUAUGCGCCUUUGACUUCAAAUAUUACAAAGGUUCAACUACGAUUGAACCGGGACUCAGGCUAUGCGCCUUCGACUUUAAGAAUUACAAAGGUUCAACUACGGUUGAACCGAUACUCAGGCUAUGCACCUUCAAGUUCAAAAAUUACGAAGGUUAGUGGAACCGAGACUCAGUCUAUGCGCCUUCGACUUCAAAGAUUACAAAGGUUUACGGUUGAAUAGAGACUCAGGCCAUGCGCCUUCGACUUCAAAAAUUACAAAGGUUCAACUACGGUUGAACCGGGACUCAAGCUAUGUUCGACUUCAAAAAUUACAAAGGUUCAACUACGGUUGAACGUCAGCUCGGGCUACGUGCCUUCACCCACAAAGUUCAACUAAGGUUGAACUGGGACUCAGGCUAUGUGCCUUCGACUUUCAAAACUACAAAGGUUCAACUACGGUUGAACAGCAGUUCAGGCUACGUGCCUUCACCCAAAGGUUCAACUACGGUUGAACCGGGAAGCUAUGCGCAUUCGACUUCAAAAAUUACAAAGGUUCAAUUACGGUUGAACCGGGACUCAAGCUAUGCACCUUCGACUCCGAAAGUUACAAAGGUUCAACCACGGUUGAACAGCAGUUCAGGCUAUGAGCCCUCACCAAAAAAUCAACUACGGGUGAACUAGGACUCAAGCUACACGACUUCGACAUGAAAGUCACAAACGCAACCACGGGCGAAUCAAAGCCAAGAACAUACGUCCCCACGGCCAUGAUCCUAGCCACAAUUAGGCGAGGCUAAAUGCCCCCACCAUUCAAGUAAGUACGACUGACUUAAAGCUAAAAUUUCGACCAGCGUAGAGUUCGGCCCAAGUCGAACUACAAGGCUGUGGUUUUCAUUACCACGGCUAGUAAUUUGACAAAGCACGAAUUGGGACUAAGGCUAUGUGCCGCCACUGCCCAAACGCGGCUAUAACCGACUCCCGUCAAGCGGAGGAAGGUGACGACCAAAAGCGUUUAUCUGCGUCCAAGGCCAUCUACACCAAUUGUCCCUUUAGACAAAGGAUCGGUUAAAAAAUGGUCGAAAUCACCUAACUAUUAACAUGCUCACUAGAGAAACACUAAGGCAAGGCCAUCUCAAACGAGCACAAAAAAGAAAUGCACAAAAUUGAAAUAAAACAAGCAGAAAGGAAGAAAGUAUAUUUACAAUAUUUAGUGGGGUUACCCCCAAUUACACUGGCCCAAGGCUGGCAGAGAAAAAGGAAACAAUCGAGCGACAACAAAAAAUGGAGAGAAAAAGAGAAUAAAAAUUAAACAGAUAUUACAAAUCUUUUGAUUUGUUCACUCAGCACCCCCAACGCCCUCUUCAAUAUUGGCAGCGCCCUCGGCGCCAUCAUAGGUAGCCUCAGGCACAACGCUGGCUUCCCACAGCCACCUGUACACAUCAAGUUGGGCCUCGGUGUACGUCUAGAGCUCACGAGCAGGACUGAAAAAAGCGGCCUGAUUCCUCAGCCACUGGUUCUCCGCUUCCAGGGUCGCAAUCUAGUUCGUUGCAGCACGGGCGUCCUACUGACAAAUAGCAAUGCGCCCCUCCAACGCUCUCUCUCGAAAAUUGGAAGUGGCCCUCUCUAGUUCGUGUUCCCUUUCUUGGGCGCGGUUGGCCGCCUGCAACGUUUAGAUCCUCUCCAGGAAUCCUCUGCUUGCUUUCUCAAAACAACAUUCUCUGUCUCUAGGGCGGCCACCUGCCUAGUCGAAGCCUCAGCGGCCUCUGCUGCCGCAUCCUGGGUUUGGCGCUCCCUCUCAGCGGCCACCCUACUUUUAGCGUCCAUCUCCUCGUUUCUUUGAUGGAGCUGCCCCUCAAGAGUGUUUACCCUGUUAAGAGUCUACUGCAUAUGAAGCUCUCUCCUCGCCAACUCUUCUACCAGUUCCUGGUUCUGCGGGUCGUUCCUUAGGCUUUCACGCAGGUCAUGACACCGGUUUCGGUAGCGGCAGUACUUCUCCAACAACCAAACAAAGACCGAUGAGCGGACGUUAGCCCGCUGAAUACUCUCCACCUCCAGUAAAAAUGACUAAACAAAGCAAUAGUUAAUACAAGAAGACGUACUAAGGAAAGAAACAGAUCAGGGCAUCAGACGUACCUUUAUACUUAGAGUGUCCACCUCGCCCAUCAACCCGACGUCUGAGAUGCCCUUCAAGGACGCACUCUUCGCCUACGAGCAUAGAACCCCGAACAGUGUCACCAGAUUCUCCUUCUCAAGCAGCAGGUUCAGGUCAUUACGGAUCUCCAAAUAACGGUAAUCCCUUUCGGCCUGCACCGCUGGGCGGGUGUAACCCUCUUGAAACAAGCGGACAUCCUCAAGGUCCAUGUCAGACUCCGAAUCGUCCCCUCUCCUGAGGCUCCCCUUCCUUCCGCCGCCUUGGAAGUCGAGGUAUCCGAUGCUCAGGACGUUGAAGCGCCCGCAUUCACCAAAAUAUCGGCGCCUGUAUCCGCCGCCAAAACAGCUGCUGAGGAACUACCUUCCCUCUCAGCAAUAAGAACUGAAAUUUGAAUUGCUGAAGCGAUUGUGUCAGCUUGGCCUGAGCAAACCGAGGGAACCCCCACUGAGUGCUCGCCCUACGGAGCAAGGUCCGCCGCAUCCCCUUCCGCUUCCGAUGGCGAAGAAUCCAAACUAAUCACCACCGGAAUGACCGGGGUGAACGCCACCCUGCUCCGAGCCAGCGGCCUCCCGUCUUAUUCUUAAUCUCCAUUCGAUGGCAACUCUGCCCCGGAACGCACAACCCUUGGGGAUUCUUCAACUCGAGGUACGGGCCGUACCGGAGAGUGAGCCGCCGAAGAUUCUACUAAGGCCGCCCUCAGAACUGGGCGAGGUGCCGGCAUUGUAAUCAAGUGGGCAGUCACCCCCGGCCUGCGGAAAGCAAGUUGAGGAGCCCUCCUACAACGUGGUCGUUCUAGCCAGCAAAGGAAGAAAAGUAUGGGAAAAGAGGCUAAGAACUAUGAAACAAGAACAAUGCGACAAGUCAGAUUCUUACCAAUGGCCGGCCUACGGCCAUGUAUCUCCCAGAAAGACGCCCACGUGUGAAUCCCCAUUGUAACAAAGAGCACGACCUCAACCCACUCUCGGGUGCUAGAAAACGGCGCCGGUGGCGCACCUCCCGCUACGGCACAAGAAGAAUAUCAGUACGUACGAACAUAAAGCAGGACAUGUAACAAAAAGAAAUCAAGGCUGGUGUAAAAUAAACUUACGUGCAUGGUUCCACUCCUCCGGGAAGUCAAUAGCACAAGCCACCAGGUGCUCAGUCCUGAUGUAGAAAAAGUGCUCGUAAGGGCGAGUAGCGACAUCAUCAUCAAGCUCCACAGUUAAGCCGUUGACCCCACGAGGGACCAACCGAAUCAUGGUGCCACGUACCCUCUGAGGGGCAUAGAGAGUUAACACGUGCCCAAGAGUAAUAUCUCUCCGCGCCAACUCCGCAUAUUUUAUCAGCAUCGCUAAUAACUUGUAACAUGAAGGGACGAGCUGACCAGGGCACACCUUGUAGUAGCGGCAGAAGUCCACCACCAACAUUGGGAGAGGAAGUCUGAAUCCUAGCUUGAAAGGGUAGGCGUAAAAGAUGCAAUACCCUCAAAGGUCGACGUGCACCCUAUUACCGCUCCUAGCAAGGACGAUGUCGGCAAAGUGGGGAAUAUCACACUGUUCCUUCAGCUAGGCGAUGCCAACUUCCCCCCAUCAAUGGAGCCUCAUCCACUUGAUCCUCUCCCUCGGGGUCGGAGAAAUCGGAUGCCGGGCAGAGAAAGAAUGUCAGUCACCGAUGGGGGCUGGUCAAUAUUCGUUGAAUCGGUGGUUCUCACCACCAUAGAUGGAUCCUCAGCCGCCGCAGCCACCACCGGAGCAAUAUCGGAACGAGAGCUGCUCGCCAUUUUUGAUAUAACAAAAGAAAGUAAGCAAAGUUCGCCGGAAAAGCAAGAGAAGACGAAGAUCUGACAAUAAGCGACAAAGAACAAAGUGACGAGGAGAAAAAUAUAGAUUAGGCUGAGUACAAGAAGAGCUAUAUCUCUCAGAACUUCACUUAUACGAAUAUCGAAAAAGUAAGAACUAAACGAUACAACCCUUUAUUUAUAGACGAAACAUAAAUGACUCUCACGAAUCCCAAAGGUCACCAUUAACUACCUGACAACCGCAAAACGGUUCAGGCAUACGGUAAUGGGCAUCAUUAUGACAGAUAUCAUGGAAUAGUCAUUCAACCAUCAAUCAACACGUCGCCCAUGAAAUGGUUGUAACGGCCCCAAGAUACCAAAAGUACGCCCGUGCGUCACCGUGCAUAUGAUGCCUUCCUUGUACGCGGUAAGCACAAUCGCAUCCUUCCCAGUCAUAUGUAAUGGGCUACGGCCGGCCCCAAACCAUUAGUGGCUACGGCCAUCCUCAAAAUAACGCUGGCCACGACCGCCUCCAAAAGUAGUAUUGACUGCAUCCAUCUCUGAAGUGAUAACGGCCACGGCCGUUUCCUGAAUACAAAACGGCUACGGCCACUCCCGAAAUAAGGACGGCUAUGGACACCUCAAAACAACAAGCUAUUGCCAUCCCUUGGCAAUAAUGCGACCACGACUUCCUACCAAAGGGAAGAGUACGUGCAAAUAAGUGGCCACGGCCAUAUCAGAUAUGCGAAUAGCUAUGGCCGGUCGCUCACAUGGAAACUAAACAAAGGGUUACGACUACGGUCGUCAGCUAUGAACUCACUUAAUAAAAAACUCCGUUGCAGUCAAGGAAUGUCCGUGCCAAAAGGCUACGGCCAUCUCUAAAAUAUAAAUGGCUACGACCAUCUCCAAAGAAUAAAUGGCUACGACCAUCUUCACAGAAUAAAUGGCUACGGCCACCUUCACAGAACAAAAUGGCUACGACCAUCUUCACAGAAUAAAUGACUACGACCAUCUUCCAAGAAUAACUGUAAUGGCUACCGGCAACAUCCGUUCAUCGAGCUCGGCCGGAUCCCAACCUCAAUAAGCGGAGGGACUAUCUGUGUGGGUCAAAACUCGACUUUGUGUUAAUUAAUGGGACUGACACAUUUAUUAAAGCCUAUUUGUGAUUAACAAACGGUAUGAACGUCUAUUGGUAAUGCUCUCGGGCAACUAUCCGAUUCGACAACUAAGGUUAUGGCCUGGCCGUCCUUACGAGGGUGUCCUCUCAAUAUGGUCACAACCACUCGGCGCCAGCUGGCAGGUCUCAUAGCUAUAAAUACUAAGAGAAAGAACCCUAAGGUGGGGGGGGGGGCUGCUUCUUCUCUCUCUUGAUACCUACUUCCAAGGGAAGAGAAUACACAUCAUUGUAAGGCUCUGAACCCCUCCAUGGAGAGGCAGACCUAAUCAAUAUCAUUAAUAAAAGAUCUCCACCCUUUUUCCCUUAAUCAUAACUCUGCUUCUUCUGUUUCUUCAUACUUCUCUUCCAAGAGAAGAGAAUACACAUCAUUGUAAGGCUCCGAACCUCUCCUUGGAGAGACAGACCUACCAAUAUCAUUAAUAAAAGAUCUCCAUCCUCUUCUCCUUAAUCAUUAACUGUUGUCUCUCGUGUUUUUAUUCAUUUGGCUUAUUGGUUUAUUACAAUAUGCUAUGGUUGGCCAUCUAUCAAUUUUAAGUGAUUUAUGAUUACAAAAUGUGUGAGAACUUUAAGCUAAACAAAUUCUUUUGCCAAAACUUGGAUGAACAAAAUUAUCUUGUAAUAUAUUCAGUAUGAUAGUUGAGAUACAUGCAAAUUGAUAUGAACGUCACCGAAAAAAUAAAAAAACAACUUUGUUUAUAGUAAGGCCAAUCAAUAAUCAAGGACAAUGACUAGAUGGGGCACAUAAAACUACAAAAUUUAAUGGAUCAUCACAAGCAUGGUUUCCAACUUUUUUCAAUGGCUGGUGCUAAUAAUUGAUGAAUCUUGAAACCUAAAAGAAUUAAAUUUUUUUUUUUAAAAUGUUGAAGAGGACCUUAAACUUAAAAUGUUAAGGUCAAAAUAGUACUUUAAGUUAAGGAGGUCUCAAUAUAAUAAUGUGAAAAAAAACCCAUCACCAUCAAAACAGCAGCAGCCCCAAAGCCUAGAAACAAGGCACUACCAACAACUGCAAAUUUCUCUCUCUCUCUCUAUGUUUUUUCAGAAAAAAAAUUCAUGGCUAACACACACACAGUCCCUCUCUCUCUAGAAAAAUACCAUCUUUCUCUCUCCAAAAACCCAUAUCAUGGAGUCACCACACUUGCCCUUUUCCUUUUUUUUUUCUAUCUCUGCUAUAAGUUUUAUAACUAUGUAUAUAUAUUAGCACUAUGUCUGUAUUAAAUGUAUUUAUCUUUGUCACUGUUCCUAUCUUCAGCAGAGGUCACAAAGGAAGGUGAAAGAAGCAAACACACACACACCAAAAAUCAACUCAAAAAUCAACUCUUUUUCUUUCUCUGUAAUGGCCCAGCUGGACCAAAAAUUUAUAUAACCAAAGAGGAGAAGUACUCAUAAAAACCCACCUCAUAUACACACCAUUUAACCAUAAAGACACAAUCUUUCCAUAAAUACCCUUCUGCAACACCCCUAAAAAGAUCCAAUCUUUCAUCACUGUCUCUAAAAAACAAAAACAGCAAUGUAUUACUACUAUAGUAUUUUUCUUCUCCAUUUAUGUGGGCUUUUUGGGGUUUGUCUUUCUUUAUCAAGAACCUUCUUACCACCUCUCUUUUCCUUUCUUUCCUUAUAUGACUACUCCUUUUCUUUGUUGUAUUAUUAUUGUUUUCUCUCUCUUUUCCUAUCUUCUGCCGCCUUGCUUCUUCUUCAUCUGGCUCUUUAUAUUUUCCAAGAUCUGAUUUUUUUUGUGAUCUGAUGUCUAAGAAGAUGAAAAGGGUGUCUUUAGAAUCAUCAUCUUAUGGUGUUUUUGAAGAUUCAAAGGCUAGGUUGAAGCGUCAGAUACUAUUUCAGGAUUAUCAAGAGCUUCACAAGGUAAAAAAAAUCUUAUCUUUUGGGGUUUGUUUGAUCCUUUUGUUUGAAGAUCUAUGUUUUUUUGUUAGUGUAUUUUGGUGUCUUUGAAUAGUCUGUUGGUUUUUCUAUUUUGGAGUUUUUUUUGGUUCUCUUUAUUUUGUCUUUAGCCGAGAGUAUAUGGAAAACCGCCUUUCUGUCAGGUAGGUAUGCGCACACACUAUUCUCCCCGGACAUGAGAAAACUCACUUGAUUUGUUGUUGUUGGAGUUUUUUUUGUUCUUGUUUGUUAGAAAUUUGAUGACUUUUGGUUGGUAAUUGAUAUGUUUCCUAUCAAAUGAUUUAUGAGCUUGUUAUUUGCUGUCUCUUUUAUUCAAUUUUUUGGAUGAAAGUUACCCUUUUAGCUCUCCCGUACUGAGGCUUUUACUAUGAGUUUGUGUCUCCUUUUGGUUAAAUCUAUUUGUGUCUUUGUCCUCAAGAGUUGUUAGGAAUUCUCUCUAGAAUAAUUCUUAGCUUGUUUUUGUGGUAACCUAGAAAUUCCUAAUGGCCAGUAGCUCACGGUUCGAAACUCGGUGGAUGAGCGCCGCCCCUCGGCCCUUCACCGCUUAAAGACAAGGUUAUGUCUAUGGGAGGAUUCAUAACUCGUGAUGUGCCCCUAUCUUGCACUCAUCCACUUCAAUACAAGCUUUUUGUCUAUGGUAGGAUUUGAACCCGUGGUGUGCGCCUAGCUCACGCAUCCCGUGCAGCACUCUUACCACUAGACUAAAACCUUGGGUCAACAGUUCUUUGUUUGUUUCCAAUAUAGUCAUGCUAUACUUUGAACUGUAAGAUGAUAGAAAGCUGUUGUUUUAGAUUUUGGAAUCGAUUAAAUUAAAAGUAAUGUGUAUUUGUGAUUAAUAAGUUUGUUUACGUGUAACCUACAAUAUACAGGAAACUGAUGGCAUGAGGCACAGAUUGGAGGAUUCAAAACUGAGGAAACUAAGAUUACUAGCUGAAAUUCGGUAAGUAUUGUUUUAACUUCAUAAAAAAGGUUUUCAUAUUUACUUGAUAUAGUUUCAUUUAAUUUAAGUAAAGAUUUUCUUGAGUUCAGUAUUUUGGCCUUAGUCUUCGGAACUAUAUUAUCUUGGAUAAUAUAAUAAAGGAAUAAGAAUUCCCCUGGUAAUUAUGUUAAGAGUUAUUAUCUUCAGCAUCUUAGUAUUCAUUUACUUGAUAAUAUAUAUGCUGAUUCCAGUGUUUUUCAAAAUGCUUGAGUUUCUUUUCUAGUAUUUGAAUCUAAGUGCAGUUUUGCCACAUAAUUGUGCAGUUUCUUACGCCAGAGACGCACAUAUCUGUUGCAGUUGAAGUGCUUAAGUCGUCCACAAGGGCAACAGCUAGUACCAAUGCCAAAUCCAGAAACUUACGACAAAAACAGGUCGAGGGAUAAAGUCUACAGCAAAAAGGAGGCCAAGCUAAACAAACUGACCCUGCUUCCUGGCCCAAAACAGAACGGAAGGAUACAGGUCGCUUCCAAGAAGACACCUGCUAUUCACGUGAGGCAAAAGCACAAAUUAGGUGGUGGAAAAGAUGAUGUUUUGCACAAUACAGUUUUAGGGUUGAACCGUGAAGCAAGAGUAUAUAGUGGAAAGGAAGUUUCAUCCGGGAAAGGAGCUCCAGCCUAUGAUUUGAAGCAGAAUGAGAGAUUGUACAUGAACAAUGCUGACUUACGAAGGGGCAGCAAGUCUGCUUUUGAUUUAAAUAAUGACACUGGUCAUAGUGGCAAAGAAGCUGCAUUGCCUACUCGUGCACCAGUCUUCGACUUGAAUGAAAUCUCGGUAAGUAUCAGAAUAAGAAUCUAGUACACUUGUCAUUUAUUUUGUGAGUUAUACGUUGUACAUCAUUUACCUCUAGACUUUCUAAUUUUUACAGACGGGGGAAGAGGAAACACAAGCGAACUUAGAGCAGGUGCAGUUCGAGGAGCCAAAGAGAAGUCAUAUCCGAAACCUGAAUGACGAUCAGCACAAUGAUUUGAAGUUAUUGGUUUGCAGAAAUGUUGGAGAAGGCACUUCUCAGGCGGGAAAGCGAAAAUUAUCAUGGCAAGACCCUGUUGCUUUGAGGGUUUGACCCAUCUUCCACUAUUCAGUUAAAUGUGGUAAGGAAAGUUUUUGCGAGCCCUGAGCGUUAUUGAACCUGAACAGGCCUUACUAGGUCAAUUGUUCUGUUGACAUGUAGGCUUAUGCUUUUCCUUUUUGUGUAAAGGAAGUUCUUAUACAUGUAAUAUGUGCACACACUGUAUUUUGAUUGCCAGCAACGAGAUAUAGUCAGUUUAAUUCGUUCUCUACAUAAAAUAGCGUAUAUUCUUCAGCAGUUUUCUAUACAAGCAAGGGAUUUGGUGUUCUCUGUUUGUUCGAUUCCACAUUGAUGACAUGGGAACUCAACUUAGGUGCUCUUUGUUACUCCUCUUCUGCUACCUGGAAUAGUUUACUAAGUUCUUUUUGGAUUCUCAUCACCGUCGAUACGAGUUCUUCCAGGUUGCUUGAGAUUAGUUCUGAUACCACCUGGUGCAGGAAAAGGGGAAUGGGAUAUGAGAUAGAUGAAGGAUAGCCCGAUGAACUAAGCUCCUGCUAUGCGCAGUGCUCGAGGAAGGGCUGGAUCACCUGGGUCUAUUGUACAAUCUUACCUUGCAUUUCUGCACAUGACAACAAUUUUAUCAGUCCUGCCAAGGCUUUCCUUCUAGUAUCUGAUGAAUAUUUUUCAAUUAUCCAGAAGUAAUCUGAUGAAUGUUUUCGUUUUACCAGUUACACCAAUGCUUUUUUAUUGGAAUGAUAUUGGUCAAUGAUAAGAUCGUCCGCGGCUAGAAGAAUAGGAUUUAGUAGAAGCCAAUUGCCAAGGCUGUUUUCCAGUUGGUCCUAUGCACAAGAACUGCAUGAACUUUACUUAUUUAUCUUGGUUUGAGAUGGUGUUUAAAAGGUCCUUGUGAUCUACAUUAUGCUGUGAUUAGGAACCCAAUGAUGCAUUUUAAGCUUGUUAUGAUCAAGAUGUUAGUUUGAAAAAUUUAGUAACCUGGCUCUUACCCUGUAGAUUGGAUAACUGAGUGGCACCUGAGGGUGCUGUGGCCCAAUAGUCAAUGAAGUAGGAGGAAAAUUAUGAAGUUUAAGUUCAUAUCUAGGUGCACGCAAGUUGGUUCAGGAACCACCGUUAUUAGAAAAAUAGAUUGGAUAACAUCGGAAAGGUUAUUGAAAAAGAUGCAUUAUUACAAGAACGACAUCCCAAUAUAAUUUUACAAGUGGCGGUCUGAAAAGGUUAGUAUGUACGCAGAUGUUACCCUUACUCUAAAGGUAGAGAGGUUGUCUCCGAAAAUCACUCGGCUCAAGAAGAUGAAAAGAAAAAUCAGUUCAUCAUAAAGAAUUUGAAAAAGCUAACAACUUAUCCCCCACCAACCAAAAACAAAAAAGCAUAAACAAAGUUACACAUAUCUAGUCCAACCACACACAACUCAAGGCUGAGUUUAUCAAAAGUCAUACAAGUACUUCUCAAAAAGUGGCAUAUGAUCAGCAUCUAAACAUACAGCCAACCUCAAAUUCUUGUCAUCACUUGGACUUGGCAAUAUGUAAACAGUCCCUUCAUACAAAAUACAUGCAGGUCCCAUAUGAACUGGUUUUCCCCAUCCAAAAUCUGAAUCAUGAACAGGUAACCUAGUCCAACUGUUAAUAUUAAGAUUAGGACUAGCAAAAUAUGUCGGUCCUCGGAUUAAUUUAGAUAAAUCUGUCUGUAAUUCGAGAUAAUCUAUCGCUGAUCUUAAGUAUUCGUCGUCCAUUCGUGCUAAUGCAGUAUGAAUUCUUUGAGCUGUGUUCAUCAAUGGCUCUGAUAAAAUUUCACCUGAUUUUGCUAUUGGUGUAGCUGUGAAAACAACAUUUCCUAAAUAGCCUGGUGGUAAAGGAGGAAAAAGUCUUGACCUACCAUCUGUAGCAACAUGUAACUUUGUCAAUUGGUCAUCGUCUAGGGCACGUGCUUUGCACGUGCAUCGCCAAAUAUGGGCCGCGAGUACUUCAUAUCUACUACCCUCGUGUUUUGACUUGGUUUUGAGUAGGGUCAGUUGGUCACUUGUGAUCUUAAACAUGGCUGUAGUACUGAAUUUUGGACCGUUAACUUGUCCAUGAACGUGCUCUGACGAUGAUUUUAGGGUUGGAGGUGGGUGAUACUCGACGUGUUUAUAAGAGGGGGUUGGUGGGUCCCGUGCACGAAGGAGGGACCUGUCGAUGAACGGUGAGACGGUGACGGAGAGGCCUCGGGCAACUUCUGACCAUGUGUUGAUGAAGUGAAGGGAUGAAAUGCCGUCAGAUAAUGUAUGGAAAACGCCACACCCUAUGGAGACUCCACCACAUUUGAAACGAGUUACCUAAAGAAAAAUCAAAUUAGUAACCAAAGUUAGUUAACAAUCGCCCCUAAGGGGAGAGCACAAUGACCAAAAAUUAAAGUCACAACUCAAACGUACAUUGCAAGUUCGAAUACGUUUAUAUUACCACCUAUGGUUGUAAUAUAUUUUAAUUAAAGAUCUUGUAUUCGAGCUUUGAAAAUUAAAAUAUUUUGAAUUUCGGGAUAAAAACUUUAAAGUUGUUUUUACAAAAUUUCAAGAAAACGCCAAAUUAGUCAUUUUUUUUUCUUCUCUUGAGGUCUGUUUAAUUAUUUUUUUCAUCGAAAAUGAAAUGAACAAUACUGACAAGAUGACGAGUACAAAUAACCACCACUCUAGAACUAGGGAAUGCAAAAGACACGUACUAGAAGACUAGAAAUAUCGAUCCGAAAACAGAAUUUAAUUAUUUCAUUCAACAAAAUUUAAUUAUUCUCUAUUUCAUUUUACAUGAUACUCCUUUUUUUUAAUCUCCUAAAAAAAAUUCAUUUUUGUUUAGGACUUUUUAAAAUUUAGUAUUUGUAUUUUAUAUUCAAUAACAUGGUCAUACAACGAUAUAUUUGCUAUAAUUAUUUAAUAUCAUACAUUUACUGAUGCUUUUAGUAGGGCCGAAUCCAUAAUUUUAACUUUAUGAAUUCAACUUUAGAAAUUAUUUUUAGUACCAAAUAUGUUGUACCAUUGAAAUCAUGAUGUUAAAAUUUGAUGUUUUCUACAAAAUAGUUCAAUUUAACCAAUUGUUAAUAAUGCACGCGCCAAAAGUAUACACUCCUAUUUUAUUUCUUAAAUUUAGCAAUCAAUUAAACACCAUCACAUAUAAUAAAAUACCAAAAGUAUAUACACUACUAUUUUAUUUCUUAAAUUUAGCGAUUAAUUAAACACCAUCACAUAUAACAACAAUAACAAUCAUCCAGUAAUAGUCUUACUUGUGGGGUCUUGGAAAGGUAGAGUGUAUGAAGACCUUACCCCUACACCGGAAGAUAGAGAGGCCGUUUCCGAGAGACCCUCGGCUCAAAGACAAAAACACCAUCACAUAUAAUAAAACAAAAAAAAAAACAAUUUUUGGGGUGCAAUUUUAGCAUGCAGAUCUUGAAACCAAUAAUCUUAUAUAUCUAAGACAAAAUAAAAUAGAAAAAAAUUAUCUAAUUAUUAUAACUCAAAAAAGGCAUAUAAUAUAGAUGAUAGAAUACCUGAAAAAUGACAAGUGGAAAAGAAGAGAUAUCACCAGAAGUAUCAAUAUUAGGAAUUAACAUCUUCUUUAUUUCCAAACUUGGAGUAAAAUCAUCACCAAAAUAAUCAAUAAAUUCAUCAAUUUCAGCUUCAAUAAAAAGAACCCCUUCUCUAUUACAAUUUAUCUCAAUUCUUUCUUUUUCAUUAUUAUUAACCUUAGCCAAUCUUCCAGCCAUUGGAUAAAAUGAAACUAAAACAUUGCUUAAAGCCUCCUUCAUAAUUCUAAAAUCAAAGAAAUUUGGAGAAAUUUCAUUUGAUUUAUAGAAAUAUACUGUCAAAAGAUGAAUUCUUCCCACUAUUAAAUCCAAAUUUGAGUUCCAUAGUUUUUUUGUAGGAGUUGGCUUUGAUGGUUUCACCAUUGUUGAUUCCUUAAUAUUGAUCUUCAUCUUGAAAUUUGAUGAAUAGAAAGAAAGGAGACCAGAAAAAUAGACGAACGAUCUGACUAUAGUAUAGGUAAGAUGUUUCUACGAGCAGAAAAUAGUAGAUUUUUCCUUAUUUUGAAAAAGCUGAUGGCCACGUGUAAAUUUUUUCUAAGGCAAAGAGAAAAGUGUUAGACACUCCUUAUUACAAAAGAGAGAUGAAGAUAGAAUCUUUAACUCAAUGAGGAGGAACAUUUAUAGCCUGAAAUAUUUCACUAUAUUAUGACUUGUCACUAUUAUAAUAUAUUGUUUUUCUUAUGAAUACCUUGUUGUCUUCUACUAAUUUUGAUGACCAAUUAGUGGUCCUUUUUUGAGUUUAAUGAAGCAAUAUAGAUAUUGAAAAUUCAUAUAAUCGAUCAUAGUAACUUACUUGGAAUCAGUGGAAGAGGCAGGAAUUACAUGCAAUGAAUAUUUUCGUCGAAAAUUUAUACAACGCAAAUAAAGAUUUUAUAUCCCCUAAAGACAAGAUAAGUACAUGCUCCUAUUUCUAUUUUCCCCUUGAUGAUACUUCCUUAUAAGAAUGACAUGAUAUUUUUAAAAUCACAAGAUUUAUAAUUUUUUUAUAUGUUAUAUACAUCUUUUUUUGGACUAUACGAUUCAAAAAACUUCCUUUACAUUUAUAACUUCGCGUCAAAUGAAACUAAAAUAAAAAUAGGACGGAGGAAGUAUAUAUAUAAUGAUGCUAAGUUCUAUAUAUAUAUGUAAAAAUAAAUAUAUUAAUAUUACUUUAGUUAUAAAAAAUUCAUUGUAAUUUUUUCUUUUUGGUAAUUAAUGUAAUUAUUCUAAAACUAAUUUUCUUACAUAGGAAAGCAAAGGAGUCCUAAAAGAUAUGUUGUUGCUUUUCAAUUAUUGCUACUAUAUAAUGAAAGCUAUUCGGAAAGUCAAAGUCUAAGGUACUUAUAAAUAAAAAAAAUUAAAAGGAAAGGAUUGUAAAUAGUCAAUUAGUCAAUAUACUUUUAACUGCAAUAUUCUUGUCUUCUCUAUUGUUUUUUUAUAAUUUUUAUAAAACUUUGUAGGGAGAAAUUUAAAAAUAGCCAGAUUUACAAGUGGUCAAAAAAUAGUCACAGUUUUAGAAGUUAUGCCAUU
rnacentral:lncRNA from 1 species